CGGGACGUAGCGCAGUCCGGUAGCGUACUAGGCUGGGGGUCUAGUGGUCGCAAGUUCGAAUCUUGUCGUCCCGA
rnacentral:tRNA from 1 species